UACAGAGGGGGCAAGCGUUGUUCGGAAUUACUGGGCGUAAAGGGCGCGUAGGCGGCCUUCUAAGUCGAACGUGAAAUCCCCGGGCUCAACCCGGGAACUGCGUCCGAUACUGGAAGGCUUGAAUCCGGGAGAGGGAUGUGGAAUUCCAGGUGUAGCGGUGAAAUGCGUAGAUAUCUGGAGGAACACCGGUGGCGAAGGCGACAUCCUGGACCGG
rnacentral:rRNA from 1 species